UCGGUUGGCUAGAGUUUAGCUGAUCCAGGUUGACUGAGCUGGAUUCAGAUAGGCUCUACAUGUCUGUCAUCCUCUUUGAACCAACAGCAUUUGAAACAUGAUCUUCUCCUAGAGAAAGAGAGGAGUACAAGGGGCCAAGCCAAUCCACAAGCUCUUAUAAAGCCUCUGCUUUCAUGUCAGUCACAGUUGCCAACAUGUCCACUACAGCCCCAAGGAAUGCUCUAAAAGCUCAAAACUACUCUUGAAAGCCUGUCUCAAAGGAAAUAGACCAGAAAGAUUAGGAAGAGGGAGGCCUGAGAAAGCAAGCAUCAUUUCAUAGGGUGGACAGCUGCCAGUUUCUGCCUUCCCAGCAUUCACACCUGACUUCCUUUAGUGACCUAAAGGGAUGGGCAGAAUGACCCAGCCAACUUGCUCUUCCAGGAAAACUUCAGGAUGGAAAACAGCUCCUGCUUCAUCCUGAGGUUCCCAAAACAGAAGUGAUCUCAUCCCCAAAUGCUGUUUAUGCUGUAUAUUCAGCUGUCACCACCCUGGAGUUAACCCUUCCUCAUCUAUCCUCCAGCCCCA
rnacentral:lncRNA from 1 species